rnacentral:rRNA from 1 species
GUUCCCCUGAGGGAAAGUUGCAAAGCACUUUGAAGAGAGAGUUAAAGAGGACGUGAAACCGAUGAGGUGGAAACGGAUAGAGCUAGCGUAUUUGACCUGUAUUCAGCCUUGCAACAGGCUACGUCUGUGCUGCUGCUCUCCAGAUUGGGACAGUGUGUGGGCGCUGUAGGUUGCGGGGUGCAUUUGCAGGUGGUGUGCGCCGAGGCGCUCGGUUUGGCGGCAUGAAGUCGGUUUUGAGGCCAGCUUGCUGGUACCCGGACCGGUGGCAUUGCUGUUCAUUCUGGGUGUUCCCCCCAUUGUGGGCAUGGUUUUCGGGCUCGGGUGGGUGCCGAGCCGGUUGUCGGCGGCGGUCGCAUGCGACACGUGCUGUGCCGUCGGUUCGGUCCUGCAAGAGCUCACUGUGCUCAUUCUCGGUGUAAAAGCUGGUCAUCUAUCCGACCCGUCUUGAAACACGGACCAAGGAGUUUAUCGUAUGCGCGAGUCAUUGGGCGUUCAAAACCCAAAGGCGCAAUGAAAGUGAAGGUAUCCGUACGGAGCCGACGUGCGAUCUCGGACACUGCGGUGCACGAGCGCAGCAUGGCCCCAUUCUGACUGCUUGCAGUGGGGUGGCGGAAGAGCGUAUGCGAUGAGACCCGAAAGAUGGUGAACUAUUCCUGAGCAGGAUGAAGCCAGAGGAAACUCUGGUGGAAGUCCGAAGCGAUUCUGACGUGCAAAUCGAUCGUCUGACUUGGGUAUAGGGGGCAAAAGACUAAUCGAACCAUCU